GCUUUUUGUGGAGGGGAAAUAAGCUCAUAUUUACCUUCUUUUUGUGUUUUUUCGGGUUCAUGGAGAAAUUCAGUGCUGCGGUUUUCUGAUUUAUAAAAUAAAAAAGUGGGUUUUGACUUGCAACAACAUGAUUUGUAUGCCGGGGCGAAAGGACAACGCUGGAUUGGAGGCAGAAAAACAGCCACUCGCCUGUUCCUGCUCACUCAGACGCUGGUGAAAGACGAGCAACAAGGAGGCAGGUUUAAUCACAGCAACCUGGAUGCUGGCAGAGGAGGAGAGAGAGGUGAAGGAGGGAUGAGAUGAGAGAUAAGAAGAGAGACCUGUUUGGUAUGCACCUGUCUCUACGGAUCAAUAAAGGUAAUUUGGGCUGAUUCCUCCCUGUAGGCCUCUUAGCAGACAAGACGGGGAGAGGGGUCAGCCUCUGCUGAGCUGCGGGGAGCUGGAAUAACUUAGAAACACACUCUGCAAAUGACUGCCCCUGUUUGAGAAUCUCUCAUUCAGAUGUUCCUCUGCGGUGUGAUGCGAAGUUCUUACACCAACUGGACUGCAGGUACAAGCACGUGUGCUGUCCUGUUGCUUUUGAAUCCUGCACAAAUUUGGAACUCUCUACAUGUAUGGAAGAAGUUACUUCAUAAAAAAAUAUAUAAACAUUAUGCAUUUGGUGCCUUUUAUACAAGGGGAGUAAGUUGAAGGGUGUAACAUAAAGAACAGGAGAAUACAAGAAAAAAGGCAAAAUACAACAAGUUUAAACGCUGUGUGUGUGUGUGUGUGUGUAGUGGAGAUCUGUCCAUGCCAACCAAUGGAAAUCAAACAAUUUAAA